GGGUUGUGAGGUUAAGCGACUAAGCGUACACGGUGGAUGCCCUGGCAGUCAGAGGCGAUGAAGGACGUGCUAAUCUGCGAUAAGCGUCGGUAAGGUGAUAUGAACCGUUAUAACCGGCGAUUUCCGAAUGGGGAAACCCAGUGUGUUUCGACACACUAUCAUUAACUGAAUCCAUAGGUUAAUGAGGCGAACCGGGGGAACUGAAACAUCUAAGUACCCCGAGGAAAAGAAAUCAACCGAGAUUCCCCCAGUAGCGGCGAGCGAACGGGGAGCAGCCCAGAGCCUGAAUCAGUGUGUGUGUUAGUGGAAGCGUCUGGAAAGGCGCGCGAUACAGGGUGACAGCCCCGUACACAAAAAUGCACAUGCUGUGAGCUCGAUGAGUAGGGCGGGACACGUGGUAUCCUGUCUGAAUAUGGGGGGACCAUCCUCCAAGGCUAAAUACUCCUGACUGACCGAUAGUGAACCAGUACCGUGAGGGAAAGGCGAAAAGAACCCCGGCGAGGGGAGUGAAAAAGAACCUGAAACCGUGUACGUACAAGCAGUGGGAGCACGCUUAGGCGUGUGACUGCGUACCUUUUGUAUAAUGGGUCAGCGACUUAUAUUCUGUAGCAAGGUUAACCGAAUAGGGGAGCCGAAGGGAAACCGAGUCUUAACUGGGCGUUAAGUUGCAGGGUAUAGACCCGAAACCCGGUGAUCUAGCCAUGGGCAGGUUGAAGGUUGGGUAACACUAACUGGAGGACCGAACCGACUAAUGUUGAAAAAUUAGCGGAUGACUUGUGGCUGGGGGUGAAAGGCCAAUCAAACCGGGAGAUAGCUGGUUCUCCCCGAAAGCUAUUUAGGUAGCGCCUCGUGAAUUCAUCUCCGGGGGUAGAGCACUGUUUCGGCAAGGGGGUCAUCCCGACUUACCAACCCGAUGCAAACUGCGAAUACCGGAGAAUGUUAUCACGGGAGACACACGGCGGGUGCUAACGUCCGUCGUGAAGAGGGAAACAACCCAGACCGCCAGCUAAGGUCCCAAAGUCAUGGUUAAGUGGGAAACGAUGUGGGAAGGCCCAGACAGCCAGGAUGUUGGCUUAGAAGCAGCCAUCAUUUAAAGAAAGCGUAAUAGCUCACUGGUCGAGUCGGCCUGCGCGGAAGAUGUAACGGGGCUAAACCAUGCACCGAAGCUGCGGCAGCGACGCUUAUGCGUUGUUGGGUAGGGGAGCGUUCUGUAAGCCUGCGAAGGUGUGCUGUGAGGCACGCUGGAGGUAUCAGAAGUGCGAAUGCUGACAUAAGUAACGAUAAAGCGGGUGAAAAGCCCGCUCGCCGGAAGACCAAGGGUUCCUGUCCAACGUUAAUCGGGGCAGGGUGAGUCGACCCCUAAGGCGAGGCCGAAAGGCGUAGUCGAUGGGAAACAGGUUAAUAUUCCUGUACUUGGUGUUACUGCGAAGGGGGGACGGAGAAGGCUAUGUUGGCCGGGCGACGGUUGUCCCGGUUUAAGCGUGUAGGCUGGUUUUCCAGGCAAAUCCGGAAAAUCAAGGCUGAGGCGUGAUGACGAGGCACUACGGUGCUGAAGCAACAAAUGCCCUGCUUCCAGGAAAAGCCUCUAAGCAUCAGGUAACAUCAAAUCGUACCCCAAACCGACACAGGUGGUCAGGUAGAGAAUACCAAGGCGCUUGAGAGAACUCGGGUGAAGGAACUAGGCAAAAUGGUGCCGUAACUUCGGGAGAAGGCACGCUGAUAUGUAGGUGAAGUCCCUCGCGGAUGGAGCUGAAAUCAGUCGAAGAUACCAGCUGGCUGCAACUGUUUAUUAAAAACACAGCACUGUGCAAACACGAAAGUGGACGUAUACGGUGUGACGCCUGCCCGGUGCCGGAAGGUUAAUUGAUGGGGUUAGCGCAAGCGAAGCUCUUGAUCGAAGCCCCGGUAAACGGCGGCCGUAACUAUAACGGUCCUAAGGUAGCGAAAUUCCUUGUCGGGUAAGUUCCGACCUGCACGAAUGGCGUAAUGAUGGCCAGGCUGUCUCCACCCGAGACUCAGUGAAAUUGAACUCGCUGUGAAGAUGCAGUGUACCCGCGGCAAGACGGAAAGACCCCGUGAACCUUUACUAUAGCUUGACACUGAACAUUGAGCCUUGAUGUGUAGGAUAGGUGGGAGGCUUUGAAGUGUGGACGCCAGUCUGCAUGGAGCCGACCUUGAAAUACCACCCUUUAAUGUUUGAUGUUCUAACGUUGACCCGUGAUCCGGGUUGCGGACAGUGUCUGGUGGGUAGUUUGACUGGGGCGGUCUCCUCCUAAAGAGUAACGGAGGAGCACGAAGGUUGGCUAAUCCUGGUCGGACAUCAGGAGGUUAGUGCAAUGGCAUAAGCCAGCUUGACUGCGAGCGUGACGGCGCGAGCAGGUGCGAAAGCAGGUCAUAGUGAUCCGGUGGUUCUGAAUGGAAGGGCCAUCGCUCAACGGAUAAAAGGUACUCCGGGGAUAACAGGCUGAUACCGCCCAAGAGUUCAUAUCGACGGCGGUGUUUGGCACCUCGAUGUCGGCUCAUCACAUCCUGGGGCUGAAGUAGGUCCCAAGGGUAUGGCUGUUCGCCAUUUAAAGUGGUACGCGAGCUGGGUUUAGAACGUCGUGAGACAGUUCGGUCCCUAUCUGCCGUGGGCGCUGGAGAACUGAGGGGGGCUGCUCCUAGUACGAGAGGACCGGAGUGGACGCAUCACUGGUGUUCGGGUUGUCAUGCCAAUGGCACUGCCCGGUAGCUAAAUGCGGAAGAGAUAAGUGCUGAAAGCAUCUAAGCACGAAACUUGCCCCGAGAUGAGUUCUCCCUGACUCCUUGAGAGUCCUGAAGGAACGUUGAAGACGACGACGUUGAUAGGCCGGGUGUGUAAGCGCAGCGAUGCGUUGAGCUAACCGGUACUAAUGAACCGUGAGGCUUAACCUUACAACGCCGAAG
rnacentral:rRNA from 1 species